UACGAAGGGGGCUAGCGUUGCUCGGAAUCACUGGGCGUAAAGGGUGCGUAGGCGGGUUUUUAAGUCAGGGGUGAAAUCCUGGAGCUCAACUCCAGAACUGCCUUUGAUACUGAAGAUCUUGAGUCCGGGAGAGGUGAGUGGAACUGCGAGUGUAGAGGUGAAAUUCGUAGAUAUUCGGAAGAACACCAGUGGCGAAGGCGACUAACUGGACAUGUAUUGACGCUGAGGUGCGAAAGCGUGGGGAGCAAACAGG
rnacentral:rRNA from 1 species